rnacentral:rRNA from 1 species
CCCUUAGAUGUUCUGGGCUGCACACGUGCUACACUGGCAGGUUCAGCGAGCUUCAUGCCCUGAUCUGAAAGGAAUGGGAAAUCUUUUCAAAACCUGCCGUGCUUGGGAUAGAUGUUUGCAAUUAUUCAUCUUCAACGAGGAUUGCCUUGUAAGCGCACGUCAUCAGCGUGCAUUGAAUACGACUCUGUAUUCUGUACACACCGCCCGUCGCUCCUACCGAUUGAAGUUUUCGGUGAGUUGACAGGAGGAUUUUUUUGAAACUGGUUCGCCAGUGGAUUUUAGAUCCAAAUGCCAACGAAUCGAUGGCUUUAGAGGAAGGAGAAGUCGUAACA